rnacentral:rRNA from 1 species
GGGUGCGUAACGCGUGGGAAUCUGCCCUUGGGUUCGGAAUAACAGUUGGAAACGACUGCUAAUACCGGAUGAUGACGUAAGUCCAAAGAUUUAUCGCCCAGGGAUGAGCCCGCGUAGGAUUAGCUAGUUGGUGGGGUAAAGGCCUACCAAGGCGACGAUCCUUAGCUGGUCUGAGAGGAUGAUCAGCCACACUGGGACUGAGACACGGCCCAGACUCCUACGGGAGGCAGCAGUAGGGAAUAUUGGACAAUGGGGGCAACCCUGAUCCAGCAAUGCCGCGUGAGUGAUGAAGGCCUUAGGGUUGUAAAGCUCUUUUACCCGAGAUGAUAAUGACAGUAUCGGGAGAAUAAGCUCCGGCUAACUCCGUGCCAGCAGCCGCGGUAAUACGGAGGGAGCUAGCGUUGUUCGGAAUUACUGGGCGUAAAGCGCACGUAGGCGGCGAUUUAAGUCAGAGGUGAAAGCCCGGGGCUCAACCCCGGAACUGCCUUUGAGACUGGAUUGCUAGAAUCUUGGAGAGGCGAGUGGAAUUCCGAGUGUAGAGGU